GCCGCCUGGGAACACCACGUGAUGUUGGCU
rnacentral:sRNA from 1 species